CGCCUCCUCCACCUUGGGAGCCCCGGGCUACUGCCUCACAGCCCUUGUUGCCCUGUGAUCUGUAGGUCCUUGGGGACGCAUAGUUAAGGUGCCAGGACAUCCUGGAAGCUGGGAGAUGUGAUUGGUGAAAUGGAAAGCACCCAGCCAUGAUUUCUGGUCCACCAGAGGGGCAUAAAGGAAAGGCUUUUAUAAGAUGAAUGAGAAAGCAACCCAAAUUCAAGAAUUGGUUGCAGUUAUGUAGUUGCCUUAUUUGAACUAUCCAGAUGGAAAUUUUCUGAUUACAUAUUCUGAGGUUAAUUGCAUGUUUGUCAUUUGUUAAACCUGCAUUUUGUUUCAGGCUAAGAUAGUGAUUUAUAGGAAAUGUAUUUGAGUUAGGUUUUAGAUUUUUUUUUUUUAACCUAUGAACAAAGGGCACUGGAGCCACUUUAGACUAAUUUUCUGCUCUUUAAUUAUUUUAAAACUCCAGAGGACGACUGGUUUUCUCCUGUGUUUUCUUAAUGUAUGGCAAGUGGAACCUCUAAUCGACCACCCUGUUUUUCAGCCUAACUGAGGCUUGCAGUAAAAUUAUCAGUUCCCACUUUCUUUGCUGCAUUCUCAAAUGCAACACAUGAGACCAGUUUUCCCUUCCCAAUUUACAAUGCUGUUAACUAUUUGCCCUUUAUUAUACAUUUCAUUAAAGUUUUCUGUUAUUGGAUUUCUUUCUACUUCUCCCUACAGUUCUGGCAAUGUUUGCUUUUUAUAUUUAGAAGCCUACCUUUUGUAUGCAUAAAUGUAUAUAGCUAUAUUCUCUUGACAAAUUAACCUCUAUUAUUAUUGUAUGGUAAACUCAUUUCAUGCUUGUGAGAGACAUUGCUAGGAAGUCUAUUUUGUUUAAUUUAAGCAUAACUUCCAUUACACUCCUUUGAUUAUUUGCAUGGAAUAUCAUUUUCUAUCCUUUCACUUUUAGCCUAUGCUUUUAAUUCAUAAUUGAGUCUCCUGUAAGCAGCAUAUUAUGAGGUUUAAAAGAUUCAUUUAUCCACUCUGUCUGCUUUACUCUCUUUUGGCAGCUAUAACAGAAUUAUCACAGACUGGUAAUUAAUAAAGCAUAGAAUUUUAUUUGACUCAUGGUUCCGGAGGGUGGAAAGGCAAAACAACAUGAUACUGGUAUCUGUUGAAGGUUUAGUUGCUGGAUAAUAACAUGGCCAAAUAUGUGAGGAAGAGAGACCUUUUUUUUUAAUAUAUAACAGAUCCAUUCUUGUUAUAAUUAGCCCAUCCCCAUAAUAAGAACAUUAAUCCAUUCAUGAGGGCAGAGUUCUUAUAGCUUAAUUAAUUUUUAAAUGAUCCACCUCUUAAUUCUAACACAGUGGCUAUUAAAUUUUCUCCUAAAUUUUGGAGAUGACAUUCAGUCUACAGCAGUAUCUGUUUGUUAGAUAAUUUAAUCUUUUUAUUUGUAAGGUAGUGAUAGGUAAGCAGUUACUAUUGUAAAUUUGUAGUUUUCUGUCCAUUUUAAAUUUGCUUCUUUUGUUUCUGGUUCUGUCCUUCCUGUGGUAUUGUUAAUUUUUGUUGAGACAAAGUUAUGCUUUCUUGCUCAGACUGAAGUGCAGUGGCAUAUCACAGCUCACUGUAGCCUCAAUCUCUGGGGCUCAAGCUUAGCCACCCAAGUAGCUUGGACUACAGACACAUACCACAACACCCAAGGAGCUUAAGAUUCUUCCACUUUGGCCUCCCAAAGUGUUGGAAUUAUAAGCAGGAGCAGCCAUAUCCAACGUUUAAUUUUUGUUGUUUGUGUAUGCUUUAAUUACUUUCUCUUUUUCUUUACUACGUUUUUUUUUCCUAGUGGUUAUCAUGAGACUUAUGUAAAACAUCUUAUAUUUUAAUUGUUUAGUUUAACAUGAUAACAAUUUAAAGUAUUCUGAAUUUCAGUAUGUAUUUACCAUUUUUAGUGACAUUAAUACUUUAGUAUUUUUCAUAUUGUUAGUUAGCAUUUCAUCAUAGCAAUGUGAAGAUUUCUUCCAGAUCAUGGCUGGAGAAGGAAAGAAGAUGUGUUUUGCCUGAUUCAGGGACUAUAAAGAGAACCAAGUUCUGCAGGCCUGUCACCUAAGUCUCAGAUUGUUGCAGUGUCAGGACCAAGGUCAAAUGAGUUAUAGCCAAGUCUACAGUAAGAUGUGGCUGUAUUCUCUUUUGAAGCCGAGACCAUGAUUGGCAAGCUUGCCUCUUGGUCAAGUGCUCACCCUCUGAAGAUGUCUUCCUUGGUCUUUGCCUCCAGCUGGGUGUCACAAACUCUGAACUGGAUUCCAAGGCUUUCAUGAAUGCACUUAUGUUUGCUGUGGCAGCUGCAUUGUGUUGUGGGGGAUGUGGAUGUGGAACCUCCCAUUCUGUCAUCUUGCUUAUGUUACUCUCCUUUACCUUUUGCUUUCUGAAGUGAAUGUCAAGCUGGUGAUUUUUAGCUUCAAAAAUUCUAAAAUAAAUUACUCAAAUUUACACAUUAUGUAAGCUAUUAAUAAAAUUUCUUGGAGGUGCUACAUAUUUAUUAAAAUUUUUGGUUAUAAUUUUAAGCUCACUGUAGGCAGAAAGGAAUCAUUAACAUUUAUAUUCUUUUUCUUAGUCUGUAUCUAAAUGAUGGUAUAUGUUAAUUCUAGAUAUUUACUUUAUACUUCAGUAAUGCUCAUCGUAUUUUGCAAAAUUUAUAUUGUUCUUUUAUUUGAAAAUAGAAGGCUUUUUUGGCUCCUGAAAGCUAUAUUGUAGUCAUAUGGUUUUAUUAUAUUUUAUGGUAAGAAGAGCAGCAACAUAUUGAGAACAUAAUAAAAUUCUCCUGUCUUUUUAAUGAUUAUUUAUUAAAUUCUUCUCAUUAGAGCCUAUUAUUAAUGAUUGAAAUGUAUUUUCUGUAUAAUUUUACUGCAAUUUAUUAAAUUCCAAUGACUUAAAAUGUCUGCUUUUCAUGAGUGCACACAGUUGAAUGCUGCAGAUAUCUAAAGAGUUAUUUUUCGGGCGGGUGUGGUAGCUCAUGCCUGUAAUCCCAGCACUUUCGGAGGCCAAGGCGGGUGGAUCACGAGGUCAGGAGAUCGAGACCAUCCUGACUAACAUGGUGAAACCCCGUCUUUACUGAAUAUACAAAACAUUAGCCAGGCAUAGUGGCAGGCGCCUGUAUUCCCAGCUACUCUGGAGGCUGAGACAGGAGAAUGGCGUGAACCCAGUAGGUAGAGCCGAGAUUGUGCCACUGCACUCCAGCCUGGGUGACAGGGCAAGACUCUGUCUCAAAAAAAAAAAGAGUUAUUUUUCAUUGUAAAUCUAAGUUGUAUUCAGGAUUUUAUGCAUUAAAAUCUCUCUUCUGAUUUUC